UACGUAGGGGGCAAGCGUUGUCCGGAUUUAUUGGGCGUAAAGAGCGUGUAGGCGGCCAUACAGGUCCGUUGUGAAAACUGGAGGCUUAACCUCCAGACGUCGAUGGAAACCGUAUGGCUAGAGUCCGGAAGAGGAGAGUGGAAUUCCUGGUGUAGCGGUGAAAUGCGCAGAUAUCAGGAAGAACACCCGUGGCGAAGGCGGCUCUCUGGGACGGUACUGACGCUGAGGAGCGAAAGCGUGGGGAGCGAACAGG
rnacentral:rRNA from 1 species